UGCAGCGAGAAGCCCUGCCAGAAAUACACGCUGACAGACGCACACAAACAGAUCCUUAUCUUUUCCCCACAGGGCUCCAAUUAUUCUCCAAACUGAUUCCAAUAUAAACCGAAUCAUGAGGACAUGAUCUGUGUUGGUGUGACUCACCGCUGGCCUGCGCAGAUUAGUCACACUUCCUCACAACAUCUGACUGGCUCACUGUUCAUUAAAUCAAGAUGAGUCAGCUGCUGACUUUGACAAGUUGUGGUCGUUUGGCUUUACAGACCAGGCUCCAGUCAAGCCUGAUUUUGGAAGCACUUUCACUCACAGCAACUGUUGCUUUUGUAUAAACCACCCUCUUUGGACAGUCGAUGGGGAUCAAAAUGAUUUUAUACACAGUAAAGCUUUUUAUCAAAUGGAAAACACAGAAAUAAGAACACAAGGGGAUUGUAAUCAGGCCUGUGCAGAUGGCAGGUGAAAAAGGUUAUGGUGUUUUGUGGACAAAUACUCACAUUUACAGCACUAAGCUUCUGUUCUCAGCCCACAAAGCUAUCAGCGGCCCACCAACUGCGAAGAUCUUGAUCAGCGGCCAGCAGAGGGCUCCACCACACUAACCCUCAGCCUCUUCACUUUCACCAGCAGCAGAAUGAACCCAAUAUGCCUUCUGUGAAGCUGCUGGCUGCGGAAAAGCAGUCGGGGGUCGGUACGAAUGAACUUAAUGAGUCAUUCAAAGAUCAUCUGUGAAUCACUGUUUGAGAGUGAAAGCCAGAACGGCCGGCCACUUCAAAUGCAGAGUGGCUUUGGCUCUUUGGUUAGUAAUGAGGCAUAUUUCCCUGUGUUCUCUGCAGCCAUAACCUAUAAACCAGAUUCCCCUUGUCCAGGCAUUAAAGGAACAGAUUAGUAACUAAGUGACUGACAGUCAGAAUGCAUGAAAUGCCCCUUUAAAGACUUUCAAAACUCACUUUUAUAAAUAGUGCUGAAGCAGAUCAAACGGGAUACAGCGGCACACAACAUUUAAAUAAUGCAAAUUAAAGGGUAACACCAUCAAUUCUACACAUGACUAUCAGUUUACUCGUCACAAAUUGUAUUAUUCACACAGUGAAAUAGAGUUGUAAUGUCUUCUCUGG